AUGAACGCUGGCGGCGUGCUUAACACAUGCAAGUCGAGCGAAGCACUUACCAUUGACUCUUCGGAAGAUUUGGUAAAUGACUGAGCGGCGGACGGGUGAGUAACGCGUGGGUAACCUGCCUCAUACAGGGGAAUAACAGUUAGAAAUGGCUGCUAAUGCCGCAUAAGCGCACAGUACCGCAUGGUACGGUGUGAAAAACCGAGGUGGUAUGAGAUGGACCCGCGUCUGAUUAGGUAGUUGGUGGGGUAACGGCCUACCAAGCCGACGAUCAGUAGCCGGCCUGAGAGGGUGAACGGCCACAUUGGGACUGAGACACGGCCCAGACUCCUACGGGAGGCAGCAGUGGGGAAUAUUGCACAAUGGGGGAAACCCUGAUGCAGCGACGCCGCGUGAAGGAAGAAGUAUCUCGGUAUGUAAACUUCUAUCAGCAGGGAAGAAAAUGAC
rnacentral:rRNA from 1 species